UACGUAGGGGGCUAGCGUUGUCCGGAAUCAUUGGGCGUAAAGCGCGUGUAGGCGGCUCAGCAAGUCGGGUGUGAAACCUCCAGGCUCAACCUGGAGACGCCACCUGAUACUGCUGUGGCUAGAGUCCGGUAGGGGAACACGGAAUACCCGGUGUAGCGGUGAAAUGCUUAGAUAUCGGGUGGAACACCAGUGGCGAAGGCGGUGUUCUGGGCCGGAACUGACGCUGAGGAGCGAAAGCGUGGGUAGCAAACAGG
rnacentral:rRNA from 1 species